rnacentral:rRNA from 1 species
AACAGGAUUAGAUACCCUGGUAGUCCACGCCGUAAACGAUGUCGACUUGGAGGUUGUGCCCUUGAGGCGUGGCUUCCGGGGCUAACGCGUUAAGUCGACCGCCUGGGGAGUACGGCCGCAAGGUUAAAACUCAAAUGAAUUGACGGGGGCCCGCACAAGCGGUGGAGCAUGUGGUUUAAUUCGAUGCAACGCGAAGAACCUUACCUGGCCUUGACAUCCGGAGAACUUAGCAGAGAUGCUUUGGUGCCUUCGGGAACUCUGAGACAGGUGCUGCAUGGCUGUCGUCAGCUCGUGUUGUGAAAUGUUGGGUUAAGUCCCGCAACGAGCGCAACCCUUAUCCUUUGUUGCCAGCGGUUCGGCCGGGAACUCAAAGGAGACUGCCGGUGAUAAACCGGAGGAAGGUGGGGAUGACGUCAAGUCAUCAUGGCCCUUACGGCCAGGGCUACACACGUGCUACAAUGGCGCAUACAAAGAGAAGCGACCUCGCGAGAGCAAGCGGACCUCAUAAAGUGCGUCGUAGUCCGGAUUGGAGUCUGCAACUCGACUCCAUGAAGUCGGAAUCGCUAGUAAUCGUAGAUCAGAAUGCUACGGUGAAUACGUUCCCGGGCCUUGUACACACCGCCCGUCACACCAUGGGAGUGGGUUGCAAAAGAAGUAGGUAGCUUAACCUUCGGGAGGGCGCUUACCACUUUGUGAUUCAUGACUGGGGUGAAGUCGUAACAAGGUAACC